rnacentral:rRNA from 1 species
AGGACGAACGCUGGCGGCGCGCCUAAAACAUGCAAGUCGAACGAGAAGCCCGGGCUUGCCCGGGUGGACAGUGGCGAACGGGUGAGUAACACGUGAGGAACCUGCCCCGAAGACCGGGACAACACCGGGAAACCGGUGCUAAUACCGGAUACCUUCACCGGAUCGCAUGGUCUGGUGAAGAAAUGGAUUCCGCUUCGGGAUGGCCUCGCGGCCUAUCAGCUAGUUGGUGAGGUAACGGCUCACCAAGGCGACGACGGGUAGCUGGUCUGAGAGGAUGUCCAGCCACACUGGGACUGAGACACGGCCCAGACUCCUACGGGAGGCAGCAGUUAGGAAUCUUGCGCAAUGGACGAAAGUCUGACGCAGCGACGCCGCGUGCGGGAUGAAGGCCUUCGGGUUGUAAACCGCUUUCAGCAGGGACGAAAUUGACGGUACCUGCAGAAGAAGCCCCGGCAACUACGUGCCAGCAGCCGC